CACACCUGAAACAUUCCAAGAUAUUGGAGUAAGCAUUAAAAGAAGUUGAGGAGGAUCCCUUAUUUGUUCAAGUCCUGGUAUAUAAAAUCUCUUGCAAAUUGAAUUGCUCAACGGCUAGGCAUUACUCCAUGGACUGUGUUGCUGAACCAGUAUGGAGUUCAGAUAGAGAACCUCAUUGACAAAAGAUUCAGCUCCAAGCUGGGAUUUAUCGAACCGAACUUUCACAGCUACAAGCUUUCCAUCACGUAGCUUUCCAAAGUAGACUGAUCCAAAGCUACCACGGCCAAUCACCUCCUUGAAGUUGUUGGUUGCAGCUUUGAUUUCUUUGUGAGUGAAAACUUUAGCCGAAUUCCAGUUUCGAAUGUCGGCUGCAAUACCUUAAAUGACAAGAAAGAAUGAUCACGUAAAUGCAAGAAUAGUUAAGUUCAAGUGAGAAAAGGGCUUGCAUAGUCUUACGUACUUUGUGCGUAUGAGACAUCAUGAGCACUUCUCUUAUUCCUCACGUAGAAAAAUAUUGCUACUGAGAUACAGAGUAGAACAAGCAAGGCUCCCCCAGUGACACCAAGUAUAAUAGCUAAAUGGUUAUACACAGAAGAAGUGUGCUGCUUUUUGUUUAAGAUGGUAACUUGGGGUGUCUCAAUUGAAGAAGGGGUCGACGACACGUCGUUGCAAGCCAUUGCAGAGAAAGAAAGGCAAAGAUUUCCAGAUGUUCUGAAGGAAAAUGGUACAUCAGAAUACUGAAACUCAAUAGCAUUUAUAAUCAUGAAAGAUAUGAGAUGUAAAUUCUAUACCUAACUUCCAAACUUUCUCUGUUCAAAGAUGGUGGAAGAGCACCUUGAAGCCUAUUAUUUUCCAGAUUCCUGAAUAGAAUGUCAAGCAGUUAUCAACAUGGUUUAUUGAGAUCAGAAGAGAAGAGUUUGUAUUAUAAGAAUUCUGAAAAUUGCAUACAAUAAAUGAAGGUCAUCUAAUUCUCCCAA